GGGGGCGUAAAGGUUUCGACGGGGAUUGCAAGCCUGGGUAAGCGAGCAGCGGUGCGGACCCGCUAUAAAAGCCGCAAACUUUAAAAAUAAACGACAACAAUACUGUUGCGUACGCAGCUUAAUUAAGCUGCCGUCUUCACCCGGAGUACCGCGGCUGGGAUAAAGGCGUCGAUUAGCGGUGCACGUGAAUAAAGAGAAGCCGUGCUCUUUAUCAUGAAUUAAACGGCUACCGUAACCGGAAGCCUGCCUUUUGGCGUCCGGUGAGGGGAAUCCCAAAUAAUUGGCUGCGCUCGGAGAAAACUCAGGUAAGCGAUUUUCGGACAGGAGUUCGACUCUCCUCGCCUCCACCA
rnacentral:tmRNA from 1 species